rnacentral:tRNA from 1 species
GCGGGGAUAGCCAAGUGGCCAACGGCGGCGGACUUAAGAUCUUGGUUUUAAACCUGAGAUAAGGGUUAGAUAAGUCAUCCGUUCCUUAGUGGUUCGGGAGUUCGAAUCUCCCUCCCCGCA